rnacentral:rRNA from 1 species
AACGAACGCUGGCGGCAGGCCUAACACAUGCAAGUCGAGCGAGGACUUCGGUCCUAGCGGCGGACGGGUGAGUAACGCGUGGGAACGUGCCCUUUGCUUCGGAAUAGCCCUGGGAAACUGGGAGUAAUACCGGAUGAGCCCUUUGGGGGAAAGAUUUAUCGGCGAAGGAUCGGCCCGCGUUGGAUUAGGUAGUUGGUGGGGUAAUGGCCUACCAAGCCGACGAUCCAUAGCUGGUUUGAGAGGAUGAUCAGCCACACUGGGACUGAGACAUGGCCCAGACUCCUACGGGAGGCAGCAGUGGGGAAUCUUAGACAAUGGGGGAAACCCUGAUCUAGCCAUGCCGCGUGAGCGAUGAAGGCCUUAGGGUUGUAAAGCUCUUUCAGCUGGGAAGAUAAUGACGGUACCAGCAGAAGAAGCCCCGGCUAACUCCGUG